CUCCGGUUGAUCCUGCCGGACCUGACUGCUAUCGGAUUGGUACUAAGCCAUGCGAGUCAUUGUAGCAAUACAAGGCGGACGGCUCAGUAACACGUAGUCAACCUAACCUAUGGACGUGGAUAACCUCGGGAAACUGAGAAUAAACCGCGAUAGAUCAUUAUGCCUGGAAUGGCUUAUGGUUCAAACAAUUUAUUGCCGUAGGAUGGGACUGCGGCCUAUCAGCUUGUUGGUGAGGUAAUGGCCCACCAAGGCUAUAACAGGUACGGGCUCUGAGAGGAGAAGCCCGGAGAUGGGUACUGAGACACGGACCCAGGCCCUAUGGGGCGCAGCAGGCGAAAAACCUUAGCAAUGUGCGAAAGCACGACUAGGUUAAUCCGAGUGAUUUCUGUUGAAGAAAUCUUUUGUCAGUCGUAAAACCACAGACGAAUAAGGGGUGGGCAAGUCUGGUGUCAGCCGCCGCGGUAAUACCAGCACCUCGAGUGGUCAGGAGGUUUAUUGGGCCUAAAGCAUCCGUAGCCGGCUACGCAAGUCUCCGGUUAAAUCCAGCUGCUCAACAGAUGGGCUGUCGGAGAUACUACAUAGCUAGGGAGCGGGAGAGGUAGACGGUAUUCUGUGGGUAGGGGUAAAAUCCACUGAUCCAUAGAGGACCACCAGUGGCGAAGGCGGUCUACCAGAACGCGUUCGACGGUGAGGGAUGAAAGCUGGGGGAGCAAACCGGAUUAGAUACCCGGGUAGUCCCAGCUGUAAACGAUGCAAACUCGGUGAUGCAUUGGCUUAUGGCCAAUGCAGUGCCGCAGGGAAGCCGUUAAGUUUGCCGCCUGGGAAGUACGGACGCAAGUCUGAAAACUAAGGAAUUNGGCGGGGGAGCA
rnacentral:rRNA from 1 species